GACCGCAAGGCCUCAUGCUAUAAGGAGCGGUCGAGUCUGAUAGCUAGUGUUGGGUAAUGUCCCACACGUCGACCGAUCAGUAGCUGUCUGAGAGACGAUCAGCACACUGGGACUGAGACACGGCCCAGACUCUACGGGAGGCAGCAGUGGGGAAUUUUGGACAAUGGGCGAAAGCCUGAUCCAGCAAUGCCGCGUGUGUGAAGAAGGCCUUCGGGUUGUAAAGCACUUUUGUCCGGAAAGAAAUGGCUCUGGUUAAUACCUGGGGUCGAUGACGGUACCGGAAGAAUAAGGACCGGCUAACUACGUGCCAGCAGCCGCGGUAAUACGUAGGGUCCAAGCGUUAAUCGGAAUUACUGGGCGUAAAGCGUGCGCAGGCGGUUGUGCAAGACCGAUGUGAAAUCCCCGAGCUUAACUUGGGAAUUGCAUUGGUGACUGCACGGCUAGAGUGUGUCAGAGGGGGGUAGAAUUCCACGUGUAGCAGUGAAAUGCGUAGAGAUGUGGAGGAAUACCGAUGGUGAAGGCAGCCCCCUGGGAUAACACUGACGCUCAUGCACGAAAGCGUGGGGAGCAAACAGGAUUAGAUACCCUGGUAGUCCACGCCCUAAACGAUGUCAACUAGUUGUUGGGGAUUCAUUUCCUUAGUAACGUAGCUAACGCGUGAAGUUGACCGCCUGGGGAGUACGGUCGCAAGAUUAAAACUCAAAGGAAUUGACGGGGACCCGCACAAGCGGUGGAUGAUGUGGAUUAAUUCGAUGCAACGCGAAAAACCUUACCUACCCUUGACAUGCCACUAACGAAGCAGAGAUGCAUUAGGUGCUCGAAAGAGAAAGUGGACACAGGUGCUGCAUGGCUGUCGUCAGCUCGUGUCGUGAGAUGUUGGGUUAAGUCCCGCAACGAGCGCAACCCUUGUCUCUAGUUGCUACGAAAGGGCACUCUAGAGAGACUGCCGGUGACAAACCGGAGGAAGGUGGGGAUGACGUCAAGUCCUCAUGGCCCUUAUGGGUAGGGCUUCACACGUCAUACAAUGGUGCAUACAGAGGGUUGCCAAGCCGCGAGGUGGAGCUAAUCCCAGAAAAUGCAUCGUAGUCCGGAUCGUGAGUCUGCAACUCGACUACGUGAAGCUGGAAUCGCUAGUAAUCGCGGAUCAGCAUGCCGCAGAUUCCCCUU
rnacentral:rRNA from 1 species